rnacentral:tRNA from 1 species
GGCUCUGUGGCGCAAUGGAUAGCGCAUUGGACUUCUAGAGGGGAUGAAGUGAUUCAAAGGUUGUAGGUUCAAGUCCCACCAGAGUCA